ensembl:lncRNA MIR7-3HG MIR7-3 host gene
GGGACACCUGCAUCUGCCAACAAGACUGGAAGCAGGUGAGGCACACAGAGGGGGAGGCCCGCAGCUGCGUGGGAGGAGGGGUGGUCUGAGGGACGUGGGAUGCCGGGAAUGAGGCUGGUUUGCAGGUUGGCGCAUGGACAUUUUCCCAGAAAGGGACAGAGACGGCGAAGUUUGACGGUCUGGAAAGCAGAGACCAGCAGGGCUGACUGCUUGGGAGGUAAGUUCUGGGGACAUGGUACAGGGUGAGGAGCAGGUAUCAGUGCUAGUUGCGACCCCUCUGUGUCUCCCCCCCGCCACCCCAUUGCCAUUCUGAAGCUCCCCAGGAAGAAGCUAGGAGGGGAAAUAAAUUGAGUGGGGGUGGGGUUUCCCAAGAAUCGGAGGAACCGAGAACGAAGAGGGGUGGGGGAACGGGGAAAGAGAGAGGAAAAUCAAGUUUUCUUCAGCACGAGGGACAGCUCUCCACCGACCGAAGGAGGAGAAUGCUAUUUAUUUCAGCACCAAAUAUCCGGACAGCGCCUCUCGGGAGGUCCGAGAAGAGAACCGCGAUCUGUUUCAGCACCGGGGCUCAGGACAGUUCCCAGCGGGCUCCGUUUCGUCUCCAGAACCCUGGACAGCUCCUCCAGCUUGGAAUGCACUCCCUCCACCUCCAACCAGAGCUCCCCACAACUGACCCUGCCUUCUUCUGCAAGCUCCAUUUCAUCAAGGGAAACGAUCCUUAUUGCCUCACCAUUUCCCACGUGAAGUCUGUAUUGACAUUCUCAUAGACCUGGGAUAUUGUGUCUGCAGCACAUAGUCCAAUUAUUUUCAUGUUAUCUACUGACAGGUCUAUUUGUCUCCCUGUUACACUGUGAGCUCCGUGAGGGCAGAAACAAUGUUAGUAUUUUCACUGCUGUGUCCCCAGCGCCUGGUCCGGGGCCCGGCACACAGCAGGCAUAUAAUAAGCAUGUGUUGAAUCAAUAAAGGCAUCAAAGAAUAAACCAAUACAUCAAUCAAUAAA